UACGUACUGUGCGAACGUUAUUCGGAAUCACUGGGCUUAAAGGGUGCGUAGGCGGCUAUCUAAGUAGGGUGUGAAAGCUCUCGGCUCAACCGAGGAAUUGCGCUCUAAACUGGAUGGCUUGAGUAAGAUAGGGGUGUGCGGAACUUCCAGUGGAGCGGUGAAAUGUGUUGAUAUUGGAAGGAAGGCCGGUGGCGAAGGCGGCGCUCUGGAACAUUUCUGACGCUGAGGCUCGAAAGCGUGGGGAGCAAACAGG
rnacentral:rRNA from 1 species